rnacentral:rRNA from 1 species
AUGAAAUCCCUAGCAGUAGCCACCGUUCCCCUUUGGGGCCUGGCUACAUCUCCCUCUCCCCCAACCUCCUUCUCCACCUCCGUCCGCCGCUGCGGCCAGGCCGGCAUGGCGGCGUGCCACCAGCACCACAGCACCACCCAGCACAUCCACCAGGGCCGCCUCACCUCCCAGCGCCAUCCACCACCUCAUGCGUCCAACACCACUGCGUCGCCGCCACAGCACCACCACAUCCAGCGCCUCCCUCCAGCUCGGGCGACCCUGCCUUCUGCCGCUGUCUUCUUCUUCCCCUUCCUGGUGCUCCCCCAACUUGUCUCCCUGCUCCUCUUCAUUCUCAACCACCUGCUGCUUCUUCUCUCAUCAACCUGCUGUUGCUCCUCCCUUGCGCCCCUUCUCUAUCAGUCUGCUACUGCUCUUCACCUUCCCUUGCCCCAACCUGCUGCUACUUCUUUCUUCCCCAUGCCUCGGUUGCUGCUACAUCUCUUGCUACUCCUCUUCUUUCCCAUGCUUUUGCUGCUGCUCUAA